ACCACGGGAUCGAUAGACCAGACCUACAAGACCAGCAAUGGUCGCAGGGAACUGGCACUAACCGGCCGAAAACUUACAACAA
rnacentral:rRNA from 1 species